CUAAUACUCCCUCCGUCCGGAAAUACUUGUCAUCAAAAUGGAUAAAAGGGGAUGUAUCUAGACAUAUUUUAGUUCUAGAUACAUCUCUUUUUAUCCAUUUUGAUGACAAGUAUUUUUGGACGGAGGGAGUAGCAC
rnacentral:pre_miRNA from 1 species